rnacentral:rRNA from 1 species
GAUGCAUCGAGUCGCUGCUCUGGUCCCGGUGGCGGCGCCGGCCGCGGGAAUUCGAUUGAUUUUGAUCCUGGCUCAAGAUGAACGCUGGCGGCGUGCUUAACACAUGCAAGUCGAACGGGGGUGCCAUGAACGAAGCAUCAGUUUACUGAUAUGGAGGGAAUGGGACUCUAGUGGCGGACGGGUGAGUAACGCGUGGGUAACCUGCCCCAUACCGGGGGAUAACACUUAGAAAUAGGUGCUAAUACCGCAUAAGCGCACGGUACUGCAUGGUACAGUGUGAAAAACUCCGGUGGUAUAAGAUGGACCCGCGUCUGAUUAGCUUGUUGGCGGGGUAACGGCCCACCAAGGCGACGAUCAGUAGCCGGCCUGAGAGGGUGGACGGCCACAUUGGGACUGAGACACGGCCCAAACUCCUACGGGAGGCAGCAGUGGGGAAUAUUGGACAAUGGGGGGAACCCUGAUCCAGCGACGCCGCGUGAGUGAAGAAGUAUUUCGGUAUGUAAAGCUCUAUCAGCAGGGAAGAAAGAAAUGACGGUACCUGACUAAGAAGCCCCGGCUAACUACGUGCCAGCAGCCGCGGUAAUACGUAGGGGGCAAGCG